CCUACGGGCUGCAGCAGUGGGGGAUAUUGGACAAUGGGGGGAACCCUGAUCCAGCGACGCCGCGUGAGUGAAGAAGUAUUUCGGUAUGUACAGCUCUGUCAGCAGGGAAGAAAGAAAUGACGGUACCUGACCAAGAAGCCCCGGCUAACUACGUGCCAGCAGCCGCGGUAAUACGUAGGGGGCAAGCGUUAGCCGGAAUUACUGGGUGUAAAGGGGGCGUAGACGGUUAAGUAAGUCUGGAGUGAAAGGCCGGGGCCCAACCCCGGGACUGCUCUGGAAACUAUUGAACUUGAGUGCAGGAGAGGUAAGCGGAAUUCCUAGUGGAGCGGUGAAAUGCGUAGAUAGUAGGAGGAACACCAGUGGCGAAGGCGGCUUACUGGACUGUAACUGACGUUGAGGCUCGAAAGCGUGGGGAGCAAACAGGAUUAGAGACCCUUGUAGUC
rnacentral:rRNA from 1 species